rnacentral:rRNA from 1 species
GAUGAACGCUGGCGGCGUGCCUAAUACAUGCAAGUCGAGCGAACAGACGAGGAGCUUGCUCCUCUGACGUUAGCGGCGGACGGGUGAGUAACACGUGGAUAACCUACCUAUAAGACUGGGAUAACUUCGGGAAACCGGAGCUAAUACCGGAUAAUAUAUUGAACCGCAUGGUUCAAUAGUGAAAGACGGUUUUGCUGUCACUUAUAGAUGGAUCCGCGCCGCAUUAGCUAGUUGGUAAGGUAACGGCUUACCAAGGCAACGAUGCGUAGCCGACCUGAGAGGGUGAUCGGCCACACGGGAACUGAGACACGGUCCAGAGUCCUACGGGAGGCAGCAGUAGGGAAUCGUCCGCAAUGGGCGAAAGCCUUACGGAGCAACGCCGCGUGAGUGAUGAAGGUCUUCGGAUCGUAAAACUCUGUUAUUAGGGAAGAACAAAUGUGUAAGUAACUAUGCACGUCUUGACGGUACCUAAUCAGAAAGCCACGGCUAACUACGUG